rnacentral:rRNA from 1 species
GAUUAAGUUAUUAAGGGCGCACGGUGGAUGCCUUGGCACUAGAAGCCGAUGAAGGACGUUACUAACGACGAUAUGCUUUGGGGAGCUGUAAGUAAGCUUUGAUCCAGAGAUUUCCGAAUGGGGAAACCCAGCAUGAGUUAUGUCAUGUUAUCGAUAUGUGAAUACAUAGCAUAUCAGAAGGCACACCCGGAGAACUGAAACAUCUUAGUACCCGGAGGAAGAGAAAGAA